GAAAUUCCUCACGCCAGUGAGGUUGAGUUGGUGUAAUGGGGGACACCAACUCUCAGAGAGACGGCU
rnacentral:ncRNA from 1 species